rnacentral:rRNA from 1 species
GAUGAACGCUGGCGGCGUGCCUAAUAAAUGCAAGUCGAGCGAACAGACGAGGAGCUUGCUCCUUUGACGUUAGCGGCGGACGGGUGAGUAACACGUAGGUAACCUACCUAUAAGACUGGGAUAACUUGGGGAAACCGGAGCUAAUACCGGAUAAUAUUUCGAACCGCAUGGUUCGAUGGUGAAAGAUGGCUUUGCUAUCAUUUAUAGAUGGACCUGCGCCGUAUUAGCUAGUUGGUAAGGUAACGGCUUACCAAGGCAACGAUACGUAGCCGACCUGAGAGGGUGAUCGGCCACACUGGAACUGAGACACGGUCCAGACUCCUACGGGAGGCAGCAGUAGGGAAUCUUCCGCAAUGGGCGAAAGCCUGACGGAGCAACGCCGCGUGAGUGAUGAAGGUCUUCGGAUCGUAAAACUCUGUUAUUAGGGAAGAACAAACGUGUAAGUAACUGUGCACGUCUUGACGGUACCUAAUCAGAAAGCCACGGCUAACUACGUG